UGGGGAAUUUUGGACAAUGGGGGAAACCCUGAUCCAGCCAUCCCGCGUGUGCGAUGAAGGCCUCCGGGUUGUAAAGCACUUUUGGCAGGAAAGAAACGUCAUGGGUUAAUACCCCGUGAAACUGACGGUACCUGCAGAAUAAGCACCGGCUAACUACGUGCCAGCAGCCGCGGUAAUACGUAGGGUGCAAGCGUUAAUCGGAAUUACUGGGCGUAAAGCGUGCGCAGGCGGUUCGGAAAGAAAGAUGUGAAAUCCCAGAGCUCAACUUUGGAACUGCAUUUUUAACUACCGGGCUAGAGUGUGUCAGGGGGGGGUGGAAUUCCGCGUGUAGCAGUGAGAUGCGUAGAUAUGCGGAGGAACACCGAUGGCGAAGGCAGCCUCCUGGGAUAACACUGACGCUCAUGCACGAAAGCGUGGGGAGCAAACAGG
rnacentral:rRNA from 1 species